rnacentral:rRNA from 1 species
GGGGAAUCUUGCGCAAUGGGCGAAAGCCUGACGCAGCGACGCCGCGUGGGUGACGAAGGCCUUCGGGUUGUAAAGCCCUGUGGGGUAGAACGAACUGGCAUCGGGCUAAUAUCUCGGUGUCUUGACGGUACUGCCUUAGCGAGCAUCGGCUAACUCUGUGCCAGCAGCCGCGGUAAGACAGAGGAUGCGAACGUUGCUCGGAUUUACUGGGCGUAAAGCGCGUGUAGGCGGUCUCGUUAGUCGGGUGUGAAAGCCCCGGGCUCAACCCGGGAAGUGCACCCGAUACUGCGAGACUGGGGUACUGAAGAGGAGAGCGGAAUUCCCGGUGUAGAGGUGAAAUUCGUAGAUAUCGGGAGGAACACCAGUGGCGAAGGCGGCUCUCUGGGCAGAUACCGACGCUGAGACACGAAAGCGUGGGGAGCAAAC